rnacentral:tRNA from 1 species
GGAGAGGUACCGAAGCGGUCAUAACGGGGCGGUCUUGAAAACCGUUAGGGUGCGAGCCCACGUGGGUUCGAAUCCCACCCUCUCCGCCA